GACGAACGCUGGCGGCGCGCCUAACACAUGCAAGUCGAACGAGCGAGAGAGAGCUUGCUUUCUCGAGCGAGUGGCGAACGGGUGAGUAACGCGUGAGGAACCUGCCUCAAAGAGGGGGACAACAGUUGGAAACGACUGCUAAUACCGCAUAAGCCCACGGCUCGGCAUCGAGCAGGGGGAAAAGGAGCAAUCCGCUUUGAGAUGGCCUCGCGUCCGAUUAGCUAGUUGGUGGGGUAACGGCCCACCAAGGCGACGAUCGGUAGCCGGACUGAGAGGUUGAACGGCCACAUUGGGACUGAGACACGGCCCAGACUCGUGCGGGAGGCAGCAGUGGGGAAUAUUGCACAAUGGGGGAAACCCUGAUGCAGCGACGCCGCGUGGAGGAAGAAGGUCUUCGGAUUGUAAACUCCUGUUGUUGGGGAAGAUAAUGACGGUACCAAACAAGGAAGUGACGGCUAACUACGUG
rnacentral:rRNA from 1 species